rnacentral:rRNA from 1 species
AGGGUUCGAUUCUGGCUCAGGAUGAACGCUGGCGGCGUGCUUAACACAUGCAAGUCGAACGGGAUCCAUCAGGCUUUGCUUGGUGGUGAGAGUGGCGAACGGGUGAGUAAUGCGUGACCGACCUGCCCCAUGCACCGGAAUAGCUCCUGGAAACGGGUGGUAAUGCCGGAUGCUCCAUCACAUCGCAUGGUGUGUUGGGAAAGCCUUUGCGGCAUGGGAUGGGGUCGCGUCCUAUCAGCUUGAUGGCGGGGUAACGGCCCACCAUGGCUUCGACGGGUAGCCGGCCUGAGAGGGCGACCGGCCACAUUGGGACUGAGAUACGGCCCAGACUCCUACGGGAGGCAGCAGUGGGGAAUAUUGCACAAUGGGCGCAAGCCUGAUGCAGCGACGCCGCGUGAGGGAUGGAGGCCUUCGGGUUGUAAACCUCUUUUGUUAGGGAGCAAGGCACUUUGUGUUGAGUGUACCUUUCGAAUAAGCACCGGCUAACUACGUGCCAGCAGCCGCGGUAAUACGUAGGGUGCAAGCGUUAUCCGGAAUUAUUGGGCGUAAAGGGCUCGUAGGCGGUUCGUCGCGUCCGGUGUGAAAGUCCAUCGCUUAACGGUGGAUCCGCGCCGGGUACGGGCGGGCUUGAGUGCGGUAGGGGAGACUGGAAUUCCCGGUGUAACGGUGGAAUGUGUAGAUAUCGGGAAGAACACCAAUGGCGAAGGCAGGUCUCUGGGCCGUUACUGACGCUGAGGAGCGAAAGCGUGGGGAGCGAACAGGAUUAGAUACCCUGGUAGUCCACGCCGUAAACGGUGGAUGCUGGAUGUGGGGCCCGUUCCACGGGUUCCGUGUCGGAGCUAACGCGUUAAGCAUCCCGCCUGGGGAGUACGGCCGCAAGGCUAAAACUCAAAGAAAUUGACGGGGGCCCGCACAAGCGGCGGAGCAUGCGGAUUAAUU